rnacentral:sRNA from 1 species
GAAGCUGUGCCUGGAGGUAAUUAUGAGAAUGGGUGGGACUUGAGGGAGAAGAGAGGUUUGGGUUGGUGGGCUGGGGACUCCUGCUGACAGCCCUCUGUUCCCCCAGGGUUUCUGUUCCUGGCUGACAGCCAUCUUCAGGAUAAAGGAUGAUGAGAUCCGGGACAAAUGUGGGGGCGAUGCCGUGCACUACCUGUCCUUUCAGCGGCACAUCAUCGGGCUGCUGGUGGUUGUGGGCGUCCUCUCCGUAGGCAUCGUGCUGCCUGUCAACUUCUCAGGGGACCUGCUGGAGAACAAUGCCUACAGCUUUGGGAGAACCACCAUUGCCAACCUGAAAUCAGGGAACAACCUGCUAUGGCUGCACACCUCCUUCGCCUUCCUGUAUCUGCUGCUCACCGUCUACAGCAUGCGUAGACACACCUCCAAGAUGCGCUACAAGGAGGAUGAUCUGGUGAAGCGGACCCUCUUCAUCAAUGGAAUCUCCAAAUAUGCAGAGUCAGAAAAGAUCAAGAAGCAUUUUGAGGAAGCCUACCCCAACUGCACAGUUCUUGAAGCCCGCCCAUGUUACAACGUGGCUCGCCUAAUGUUCCUCGAUGCAGAGAGGAAGAAGGCCGAGCGGGGAAAGCUGUACUUCACAAACCUCCAGAGCAAGGAGAACGUGCCCACCAUGAUCAACCCCAAGCCCUGUGGCCACCUUUGCUGCUGCGUGGUGCGAGGCUGUGAGCAGGUGGAGGCCAUUGAGUACUACACAAAGCUGGAGCAGAAGCUGAAGGAAGACUACAAGCGGGAGAAGGAGAAGGUGAAUGAGAA